rnacentral:rRNA from 1 species
AUUGAACGCUGGCGGCAUGCCUUACACAUGCAAGUCGAACGAGGGUAGCAAUACCUUAGUGGCGAACGGGUGAGUAAUAUAUCGGAACGUACCCUAGAGUGGGGGACAACCAGUCGAAAGACUGGCUAAUACCGCAUACGAUCUACGGAUGAAAGUGGGGGACCGCAAGGCCUAACGCUCCUGGAGCGGCCGAUAUCUGAUUAGCUAGUUGGUAGGGUAAAAGCCUACCAAGGCAUCGAUCAGUAGCUGGUCUGAGAGGACGAUCAGCCACACUGGGACUGAGACACGGCCCAGACUCCUACGGGAGGCAGCAGUGGGGAAUUUUGGACAAUGGGGGAAACCCUGAUCCAGCAAUGCCGCGUGAGUGAAGAAGGCCUUCGGGUUGUAAAGCUCUUUUGUCAGGGAAGAAAAGGCUAUGGCUAAUAUCCAUGGCUGAUGACGGUACCUGAAGAAUAAGCACCGGCUAACUACGUGCCAGCAGCCGCCGUAA